UGUAUCUCCAGAAGCUGACUCCCAGACCCCUUCUGGACCACGGAAUGCAUGCGUGGAAAACCCUAUCACCUCUUAAGAUGCUCCUGACCGUGCUUCCAGUUGCCUGUGUACUGACCAGUCAGAUCACCCAGUGGCCUUGUCAAGUAGUGUCAAAUUGCCUGCUCAACAGAAACAUUAAGACCAGCUGUCACAGGUUGUCUUUAUCACACCUACAGAGAUGCCCUUCUAGAAGAAGCCCUUCUGUGUUUGUUCAGAUACUCAGAGAUGAAGUGUGUCCUCACUCUCUUUCUGGAUUUCCAAGUGGUCCCUUUCAACAUAUUACCUUUUCUCUCUUCAGACCUGUUGCCUCAGGUCACAAAAUGGCUGCAACAGUGCCAUGAAGCUGCUAUGAGAACAGGAGCUCUGGGUUUCCGUUGAUUUGUCGGCCACAGUCAUCAUCCAUCAAGGGACAUUUUCAUCAAUCCAGGUCACCAACAGUGAAGAAAAUGACAGAUGUCCUGACUUCAAGUGAUUUUCUUUCUAGAGGAGAGAGACAGAAGCCCAAAGGGAUAAAGAAAAUGGAUUAUCAAUGUUGACAACUCUGAUGUUUUAAAUGUAUAUCACGAAGAAGACUCCAACAGAAGCAGCAGAAUAUGUCUGUCCAGGCCACAAGAAAACAAGCCUAAAAGCAUGCAUGUGGUUCUACACAGUCAUAGAAGAGCCUUGGACUCUCUCCAACCAUGAGAAAGGACCAAAGAAAUCCAAAGUGAAGAAGAAUCUUCAACAUCAUGAAAGACAAAGGAAACCCAAAGAACUGUUACAGGUUCAAGGAGGAAACUUAAAGAGAGAAAUACUGAAUUCAACACCAAGUACUAAAUAGGAUCCUGAAACAGAAGGACAUUGGUAGAAAGACUAAUAAAAUACAAAGUCUGUUAUAAGGGGUCUUAGUUUGGGUCGUUAUAAAGUUACCUUACAUAUUAGUCUUGACCUUAACAGGCAUGUUUUUCUCACUACAUUAUUAAGCUUGGUGUUUGCCAUAGUUUUAGUUGAUGGAUGACACUUAAGUUAAAGAAAUUUUUGUCUAUAGUUAGUUGACUAAGAGCUUUGCAUAAUGAAUGCACACUGAAUUGUUAGUAAAUCUUUUUUUCUGUAUUGACUAGAACAAUUGUAUACUUUUCAUCUUUUGGUGUCUUAAUAAUUCACCCAUCCAUAAUUUAUAUUAUUGGUUUCCUAGAAUUCAAACAAUCUUAUAUUCUCAAAGUAUCCUAGGUGGACCAUCAUGCAUUCAUUGCAUUUUUAGUUCUUUGCUGAAUUUGUAUUAAUGAUAUUUCUCUAGGACAUUUGUAUCUCUUUUAAUGAGUAGGAUUGAAAUAUAAUUUACUUUACUUAUUCUCCCUUUGUAAGAUUUUUU